UACGUAGGGUGCAAGCGUUGUCCGGAAUUAUUGGGCGUAAAGAGCUCGUAGGCGGUCUGUCGCGUCUGCUGUGAAAACUCGGGGCUUAACCCCGGGCCUGCAGUGGGUACGGGCAGACUAGAGUCCGGUAGGGGAGUGUGGAAUUCCCGGUGUAGCGGUGAAAUGCGCAGAGAUCGGGAGGAACACCCGUACGCGAAGGC
rnacentral:rRNA from 1 species